rnacentral:lncRNA from 1 species
AGUUACAGGGUUACUUUCAAAAAUAUGACAAAUUAUUGAAGGUGCCUAACAGGCAAACUGCACCAGUUCCCUUAAUUUCCCACCGAUUUUCAUGAAAAUUGCAUUGAUGCAAAGGGUUUUUAAUUUAGAACCAUAAAUGUAUCUAUAAAAAAAAUAAAAAAUUGGAAAUUUCCAGAGUUACAGGAAUAUUUUCAAAAAUAUGGCAAAUUAUUGAAGGUGUGUAAGAGGCAAACUGCACCAGUUCCCUUAAUUUCCCACCGAUUUUCAUGAAAAUUGCAUUGAUGCAAAAGGUUUUUAAUUUAGAACCAAAAAUGUAUCUAUAAAAAAAAUAAAAAAUUGGAAAUUUUCAGAGUUACAGGAAUAUUUUCAAAAAUAUGGCAAAUUAUCGAAGGUGUGUAAGAGGCAAACUGCACCAGUUCCCUUAAUUUCCCACCGAUUUUCAUGAAAAUUGCAUUGAUGCAAAAGGUUUUUAAUUUAGAACCAAAAAUGUAUCUAUAAAAAAAAUAAAAAAUUGGAAAUUUUCAGAGUUACAGGAAUAUUUUCAAAAAUAUGGCAAAUUAUCGAAGGUGUGUAAGAGGCAAACUGCACCAGUUCCCUUAAUUUCCCACCGAUUUUCAUGAAAAUUGCAUUGAUGCAAAGGGUUUUUAAUUUAGAACCAAAAAUGUAUCUAUAAAAAAAAUAAAAAAUUGGAAAUU